AUUGAACGCUGGCGGCAGGCCUAACACAUGCAAGUCGAGCGGUUGAAGGGAGCUUGCUCCCUGAUUCAGCGGCGGACGGGUGAGUAAUGCCUAGGAAUCUGCCUAUUAGUGGGGGACAACGUUUCGACAGGAACGCUAAUACCGCAUACGUCCUACGGGAGAAAGCAGGGGACCUUCGGGCCUUGCGCCAAUAGCUGAGCCUAGGUCGGAUUAGCCUUUUGGUGAGGUAAGGGCUCACCAAGGCGACGAUCCGUAACUGGUCUGAGAGGAUGAUCAGUCACACUGGAACUGAGACACGGUCCAGACUCCUACGGGAGGCAGCAGUGGGGAAUAUUGGACAAUGGGCGUAAGCCUGAUCCAGCCAUGCCGCGUGUGUGAAGAAGGUCUUCGAAUUGUAAAGCACUUUAAGUUGGGAGGAAGGGUUGUAGAUUAAUACUCUGCAAUUUUGACGUUACCGACAGAAUAAGCACCGGCUAACUCUGUGCCAGCCGCCGCAGUAAGAC
rnacentral:rRNA from 1 species